AGAGUUUGAUCAUGGCUCAGGAUGAACGCUGGCGGCGUGCUUAACACAUGCAAGUCGAACGGACCUGAUCUUCGGAAAAGGUUAGUGGCGCACGGGUGAGUAACACGUAGGUGACCUGCCCUGGAUGGGGGAUAACUUCUCGAAAGAGAGGCUAAUACCGCAUACGCUCGGCCAUUCGGUUGGUCGAGUAAAGCUCCGGCGCUCCAGGAGGGGCCUGCGUCCGAUUAGCUAGUUGGUGAGGUAAAUGGCUCACCAAGGCGAUGAUCGGUAGCUGGUCUGAGAGGACGAUCAGCCACACUGGCACUGACACACGGGCCAGACUCCUACGGGAGGCAGCAGUGAGGAAUAUUGGUCAAUGGGCGAAAGCCUGAACCAGCAACGCCGCGUGAGGGAUGAAGGCCUUCGGGUCGUAAACCUCUUUUCUGGGAGAAGAGACAAGGACGGUAUCCCAGGAAUAAGUCUCGGCUAACUACGUG
rnacentral:rRNA from 1 species